GGAAGACCAUUCCUGGAUUUACCCUUCGAGGGAGCAGUAGAAGCGGAUCUGGCAUGAAGUGGGGGACACAACUCCCCUUAUGCUCCCAGCACAUCUCCUGGGCUGAGGCCAUCUCAGAUUGGAAGACCAGCUUUCCAAAGCAAGUCUCCUCCACAUCAUGAAGGAGAAAAAGGAUCCUAUCACCCCUAUUGCAAUCAUCAUCCCUGGCUGACAGAGGACAUCCUCAACUGAGCUUCUCGGCAAGGCUGGGAUCUUCACCAGCACGUUCCUUAUGACUUUGCCAUCCCUGGGCUUUCGGACAACAACAACAACAACAA
rnacentral:lncRNA from 10 species